rnacentral:rRNA from 1 species
GAGAUGACAAUGUACUUUCAUCGACUUUUUGUCGACCCCAAAUUUUACCUUUUAAGUACUUUUUUGGGCAUUUUCGUGAUUUGGGNUAUAUUACGGAACCCAAANUACUUGUUCAUGCAUUGUUAUAGNAUAUUUUCAUGCAUCAAAGCUCGUUAAGACUAGAUGGGGUAUCCCUACAUAGCUGGUGGGACCCACGGCGAAUGGUUCAUCAAGUUUUCAAAAAAGUAUAUAUACGAUUGCAUUGCAUAUACUAACGGAUGNGAUCAUACCAGCACUCAUGCACCGGAUCCCAUCAGAACUCCGCAGUUAAGCGUGCUUGGGCGAGAGUAGUACUAGGAUGGGUGACCUCCAGGGAAGUCCUCGUGUUGCAUCCCUCUUCUUAUGUUUAACCUUUUUUUUUUUGGUUUACACUUUAUGACUCCAUAANCUUANUANNACAG